UUCUAACCUGAGUUCGUAUUCUCUGAUCGCCAACACAAAAGAAUGUUCUUAUCGUCGUAUUAUUUAAAAAUUUAAUUUCUAUGAAACCAUCAAAUAACAUUGGGAUGUACCGGAAAGAGAAAUGCAAGAAUCUUUUCAGAGAAGGGUUGUUCUUGAAAGGAGCUGCAUGUUUGGUAAUCAAUCAACUUUUUUCUUCAUCUUCUUCAUUCUUCUUCUUGUUUUUUUUUUUUGUUUUUCUGUAAUGCUUAAGGCUUUUUUAUAUAUAUAUAUUCAGUUGUAAUGAUUAAUAAUAAUUAAAUUUUUUUUCUUUAAUAGUUUAAGCAUAAAGAACACGUUCUUCGUUGCUCCUUUACGAGGCGCAACGGGACGUUGCUAUGGAAAUUGUGGUUUCGAGCAUCCCAACGGUCGAAGAAUGAAGAAGUACAUUAAUCGAUGAGCG
rnacentral:lncRNA from 1 species